UUUUUAUUUUUUAUUUUUUUAUGUCUUUUUAGGGCUGCACCCGCAGCACAUGGAAGUUCCCAGGCUAGAGGUCGAAUCGGAGCUACAGCUGCCGACCUACACUAGAGCCACAGCCACGCCCGAUCCGGGCCACGUCUGCGACCUACACCGCAGCUCACGGCCACGCCGGAUCCUUCACCCACUGAGCGAGGCCAGGGAUCGAACCCGUGUCCUCACGGAUACCAGUCAGGUUUGUUACCACUGCGCCACGACGGGCACUCCGGAAGCGUGACGUUAAAUCGCUCCCAGCCCUUCGUUCAGGAAGCUCUUCCUUCACAGGUUCUACGCACUCCUUUUUCUAUCGUUUUAAUUCCAUUUUCCUCUUUCUAUUUCUCCCUUGCCCUCUCGCUUCCUGACACGCCCUCGUUCUUCCAAACUCAGGGGCACAGAGGGACGAACCAGGGUCCCGUGUUCAACAGCCUCCCGUCCCUGGUCCACACAGCACACCCCUCACUCGCUCACUCACGGACUCACUCCAUCAUUCACUCACUUUGCCCCUCCUUCCUCCCUUAUGCUGGGCACUCGUUUAUGCGGUCAUCUCCUGGGAAGUACUCUCAUGAGUCAAAAGGCCAAUAAUCUGAUUAGUGAUCAUCACACCAUGUAUUUAUUUGCGUCUGCAAAUCCUUCUCCCGCCUUUCAUCACCGGUCACAUGCUGGUAUUUACGCUCUCACUCGCGGGCCUCAAUUGCGUAUAUUUUACGACCCAAAGAUAAUAAGAAAAGGCUGGAGAUCGCAGUCUUGUCGUUGGGCCGGGUAUGUCCGCUCGUUUUCAUCUAUUCUGGGAAAGGGGUCGGGAAUUCACCUCCUUAAGAAGCGCGGGUGUAAACGAAUGACAAUCGCUGCUCAGACCACCUGCUUCACUAACCACGUACCACCCUGGCUGCUGGAUUAGCAUCUUCCCUUUGUCCGUUCCCGCCUUGUUUUUCGUCUCUCCGUUUUCCUGGGCCCUAGAAAAGGGGCCUGGAUGGUUUGCAUCCGUCAUGAAGACUGAGGGCGACCCUGACCCGUUCCUCUCAGAGCCCCUCUGGGACGCGCCCCCCCUCCCCGGGCUGUCUAGUGGUUCCCGCGCCACCAGCCCUGCUCUUCCGCUUAGUUCCACUCUGCCUUCCCCUCCUCUCUCUCCUUGACUCUGAAGCCUUUUUCCUCGCAUCUUUUCCCUCUCUGGAGCCUCAGGUGCCUGGCGUGAGAUGGGUGACAAGCCACGGAGCAGGCCCCCCGGCCACUCCAGGCAUUUCCAUUUCUAAUCAGUCGUUCGUGGGUCCACUCACUCUUUCUGUCACUCUCUUAUGUCAAUAUUUAUUCUUUUAUUUAUGGACCUCAGGUGCACCGAAUUGGAUUAACCAUAAUCUGCGGUCCUGGCGCCUUCUCCGCCCCCAUCCAGGGGGGUCCCCUUCUGCUCCUUAAUUCCUUGUACCCGUGAUUCGGGUCAGGAUUUAUUUAACUCUCUCAAGAGCCCGGUUUUGCAUCAGUCCUAAUUCUCGGCUCACCCUGGCUUCUCAGGGCUUUGUUCUAACAUGGCCCCUCGCUCACAGGUUAAUGUAUCCAUCUAUUUAUCCUUCGAUAUGCUUUUAUUGCUAAUAUCCAUCUUGUCAUAAUUGUCCCUGUCCCCGCCAUCCUCACCCUCUCCCUUUUUGCAUUCUUUGAUGCUUGGGAGCCGCAGGUGCAGCCCCGAAUUAAUUAAAAUCAUUUUUCUCAUUCAUUCGUUCACGCAAUCCCCUCUCUCUUCUUUCUUUUAGGCCUGUGUCUUCUUCCUGGGGAAUGUCAGCCUUCCUCAUUUGUUCUCUUUAAUCAUCAUAACAUCUGUUUAUUGCAUGUAAGCAUUUUCCAUAUGCCUCUUUUAACCGCUUUUCCUACACCUUCCUCUCUCCCAGCUCUUCCUCCCAUGUUUCAGCCUCCUUGCUCAUCUUCUCACGGAAAGCCUGCAGGUUGUUCCUGCAGGCUUUUAUUUAUGGGGUUGUUUUUAUGAUGUAUCCACUUUGGGACCACAGAUCUGAAUUAAGCGCAUGAUCCGAGCCGUCCCCUCUCAUAGACGUCAUCAUUCAACCUACUUUUAUUAUCUUUUUACUCCUUUCUCAACAUUUUCGACUUUUCCUCCAUCUUAAUUUUUUUUUUCUUCCUACCAGUCAUUCAACCUUUCUUCUUGCUGCCUUUCUUCCUCUAGGAGAUCAGGCACCAGGGACUGGAUGAAGCCUAAGCCCCUCUGUAACACUCGCCUCGCUGGCCCCUGCACAUCUUUUUUCCCGUCCAUUCCCUCGUCCAGGCACGCAUCUGUGCAGGCUUUCUUUCCC
ensembl:lncRNA